rnacentral:lncRNA from 1 species
UGAGAAGUUCAAACUUUUCAUGUUUGAACAAUAUAUCAUGUUCGUACAACAUGAUAAUUACGUAUAUUGUACUAACAUGAUAGUAUAUUGCACAAACAUUAAAAGUAUAUUGUUAGAAAAAUAUACUUUUCAUGUUAUAACGUGACAUAGCUCUACGCUUCCGUAUCCGAGGCUUUUCAAUGUGGCCUCACAAAAUUAUAACGACUACAACAACCAUGAAAAGAGUUGGAUGGACAUUGCUGCUCGAUCACAGCUGCCUGGUCAAUGUUUUUCAUUAGCAAUUUAGCAAAGUUGAUGGUGUGUGUGUGUGUGUGUGUGUGUGUGUGUGUGUGUGAGUGAAAGACAGAGAGAGGGAGAGCGAGGGACAGAUUUUGUAUGAUAAGCUUCAUGUUAUGGACGCACAGUUUGAGCACUCAGGUCGCAUCAGAGCAUCAGGCCGUAUAGUGUGAGACCCUGCAUCGUGACCUAUGAACUUCUAACCCCUGCGAUUUAAUUGUACAGUUUGAGCAGCAGCGGAAUAACGUGACUGAAAAAAUCGCACAGUGUUUGCCCAGCUUAAUGCAGACUGUUUAAACUAAACGAGCUGCUGUUUCACAUAAUAAACCCUGUCAGCCGCAGUAUUGCCUUCUGUUUUAACAGUUAAAGCAGUACAGGGUUCGUACGGGUGCUUGAAAUCCUUGAAAAUGCUUGAAUUCUAAUGUCGUCUUUUCAAGGUUUGAAAAGUGCUUGAAUUUCAGAUGUGGUGCUUAAAAGUGCUUGAAAAUGUAACAGUAUUUCAUUCACAAUAAAUAGCUAUCUGAUUGAAUUGUUUUCUUAUCAGAUAGAGAAAUAAAAUGAGAUGCAAAAUUUCCCCGCCUGGGCUGCCUUGCGUCUGUUUCAAUAUGUGACCCCGCCCCUCCCUCGGACAGUCGGGGAUGAGUGCGCUAACAUACCUGUAGGUUGCUGUUUUAAUGAGUGUUUGAUGGAAAACAACAAUGGCGGAGUUUGCGUUCUCCAGUUGCAUGAUAGGUGAGUCCUAGUAAAUAAUUUUCCAGUACGCGUACGUUACACAUGCUAUUUUUUUAAAAUUAUGGUUAUUAUUUUGCUAGCUAUCAAACUCGCUGGAGAAAUGAUUGAAAUGCACUGAGUGUGAUGCAGUAUGGCAGCGCUAUUACGGAAUAUGCUGUGAACUUAGCUAACAUUACUUAGCAGUAAUAUGAGUUAAUUUACUCAAGUGAAAGCUUUAAACAUUAUCCCGAUACAUAACUAGCUAACUUAAGGCUUUCUGAUUAACUCUCUGGGGUCGACGGACCCAGAGUCUCCAUUUCAACUUGGGUCGAACGUGCGGACUUCAAGCUAUAUACCAGUUUUUAAAUUGUGUUGAUAGGUCACGUAAAACCGAUGUUAUUGGGGGGGGGGGGUUCUGAAUAAAACAGUGGCGUUUACUCCGGGAAGAAA